rnacentral:rRNA from 1 species
GACGAACGCUGGCGGCGUGCUUAACACAUGCAAGUCGAACGGAAAGGCCUCUUUUGGGGGGUACUCGAGGGGCGAACGGGUGAGUAACACGCGAGUAACCUGCCCUAGUCAUUGGGAUAUCAUCUGGAAACUGGGGCUAAUAUCGGAUAGGAGCUCUUGCGCCAUUGUGUGGGUUGGAAAGUUUCGGCGGUUGGGGAUGGAUUCGCGGCUUAUCAGGUUGUGGGUGGGGUAGUGGCUUACCAGGGCAUUGACGGGAAGCCUGCCUGAGAGGGUGACCGGCCACAUUGGGACUGAGAUAAGGCCCAGACUACUACGGGAGGCAGCAGUGGGGAAUAUUGCACAAUGGGUGGAAGCCUGAUGCAGCAACGCCGUGUGCGGGAUGACGGCAUUCGCGUUGUAAACCGCUUUCGCUUAUGACGAGGCGUUAUUUGCCGUAAGUGGGUAAAGAAGCCCGGGUAACUUCGUU